rnacentral:tRNA from 1 species
GGGCCGUUAGCUCAAUUGGUAGAGCACCGGACUUUUAAUCCGAUGGUUCUGGGUUCGAGUCCCAGGCGGCCCACCA